rnacentral:tRNA from 1 species
GUUCGUGUAGCUCAGCAGGAUAGAGCAACCGCCUCCUAAGCGGUAGGUCGUCGGUUCAAUUCCGGCCACGAACA